AAGUCGAACGAGGUAGCAAUACCUAGUGGCGCACGGGUGCGUAACGCGUAUGCAACUUACCUCUUACAGGGGGAUAACUCGGGGAAACUCGGGCUAAUACCGCGUAAUAAUUUAACUGGCAUCAGUAGAAUUUAAAAGCUACGGCGGUAGGAGAUAGGCAUGCGUGUCAUUAGCUAGAUGGAGAGGUAACGGCUCCCCAUGGCUACGAUGACUAGGGGUUCUGAGAGGAAGAUCCCCCACACUGGUACUGAGAUACGGACCAGACUUCUACGGGAGGCAGCAGUAAGGAAUAUUGGGCAAUGGGCGAGAGCCUGACCCAGCCAUGCCGCGUGCAGGAAGACGGCCCUCUGGGUUGUAAACUGCUUUUAUCAGGGAAGAAAAAAGGCUUGCGAGCCUAACUGACGGUACCUGAUGAAUAAGCACCGGCUAACUACGUGCCAGCAGCCGCGGUAAUACGUAGGGUGCAAGCGUUGUCCGGAUUUAUUGGGUUUAAAGGGUGCGUAGGUGGCUGAUUAAGUCAUGGGUGAAAGCCCGCAGCUCAACUGUGGAAUUGCCUGUGAUACUGAUUAGCUUGA
rnacentral:rRNA from 1 species